AGCAUCGUCACAAUGUUGGACAUCAUCAUCAUCAUCUUCUUGGUUAGCUUCAGAGUUCAUUAGUAAUGGUUGUGUGCAGUCAUCCCCUACAGCAACUUCAAGAUAACUGAUUAGUAAGGGAUCAAACUGAAAGGCAUUUAGAAGUGGUCGGAGUAGUGUGCAGGACAACUUCAUUUGGCAGAUGAGAGGCACAGAUCUAGAGCUUGGGGCACGGGGGAGGCGUAGGGACAUAGGGCAGAGACAUCCUACUCUUCUUCUUCUUCUUCCUUGCAAGUGGUCGGACUUGGGGUGCGCGAAAACUUUAUAUGGCGAAGAAGAUCGGCACGGAUCUAAAGCUUGGGGGAGUCGGGGCAGUGCUGGUGUGACUAGGGCAGAUCUGAAGUGUUGUUAUGCGAGUGUGAUGGUCAGAUCUAGGCGAGGGGUAGGGGUUCAAUGGCUAGGUUGUUCUUGCCUAUUUUUUUGUUCAUGUGUUUCGCUUAAUUUGUUCAUAUUUUUCCCGGGUUUGUUCAUGUGUAGAUUUGUGUAUAAAAUUGGGUAUGUAAGAAAGAAAAUGCUUCGAUCAUAGGUUUGAGAUCUUGAUUUGUAAUAUUGUUGAAGUUUUUUAUUUUCAAAUAUGAGUUCAACAAGGCUGAACUCAAUAACAAAAACUCAAUUUUUUAUUUAUUUAAGUUGGAUUUAGGAUGUAUUGAUUUGAGAUAAAUUUGGGUUUCAUAGGUUUAAUCUUUAA